rnacentral:rRNA from 1 species
UACGUAGGCAGCAAGCGUUGUUCGGAGUUACUGGGCGUAAAGAGUAUGUAGGCGGUUGGGUAAGUUUGGUGUGAAAUCUCCCGGCUUAACUGGGAGGGUGCGCCGAAAACUGCCUGGCUCGAGUGCGGGAGAGGGGAGCGGAAUUCCUGGUGUAGCGGUGAAAUGCGUAGAUAUCAGGAGGAACACCUGCGGUGUAGACGGCUCCCUGGACCGUGACUGACGCUGAGAUACGAAAGCGUGGGUAGCAAACAGG